UACGUAUGGUGCAAGCGUUAUCCGGAUUAACUGGGUGUAAAGGGAGCGCAGGCGGCACGGCAAGCCUGAUGUGAAAGCCCGCGGCCCAACCGCGGGACUGCAUUGGGAACUACCGGGCUGGAGUGCCGGAGAGGUAGGCGGAAUUCCUAGUGUAGCGGUGAAAUGCGUAGAUAUUAGGAGGAACACCAGUGGCGAAGGCGGCCUACUGGACGGUGACUGACGCUGAGGCUCGAAAGCGUGGGGAGCAAACAGG
rnacentral:rRNA from 1 species